rnacentral:rRNA from 1 species
AUGCUUCUCCUAAAGACUAAGCCAUGCAUGCCUCUGAAUAGAAGAGCUUCCUCUUUGAAUCUGCGAACGGCUCCGCAAACCAGUUGUAAACUAUAGCGAGCUUGCUCCGGCGAUGGCCGCAAGGUCCUCGUCGGGGCCAUAAGGAUAACCCUGGUAAUCCUGAGGCUAAUACAAGAUCGUACCCCCUGGCCAACCGGCAACGGAAGGUCGGGGAACGUGUGACAACAGCGCAAAGAUUGCUGGGAAUAGGUGCACGUUCUGACCACCAUACCAAACAGUGGCCUGGAGUUCGGCGUAAGGCUUUCCUGGGUGGCUCUCGCUGUGUGCUUCUGACCUAUCAACUAGAUGGCAGCGUAACGGACAUGCUAUGGUGACAACGGGUACAGAGGAUAAGGGUUCGAUCCUGGAGAGUGGGCCUGAGAGUUUGCUCACACUUCUAAGGAAGGCAGCAGGCGCGCAACGUUCCCCCUGGGCAAAGCUCGAGGGCGUUAGGGGACAUAUGAAUGUCUGCCUCAUGGUGGACAAUUCAAAUGGGUCUGUUCUAAACAGCCUC